CCUACGGGAUGCAGCAGUGAGGAAUAUUGGUUAAUGGCCGGAAGGCUGAACCAGCCAAGCCGCGUGAAGGACGAAGGUGCCAAGCAUUGUAAACUUCUUUUAUAAAGGAAUAAAACGAGGCACGUGUGCCUUUUUGCAUGUACUUUAUGAAUAAGGAUCGGCUAACUCCGUGCCAGCAGCCGCGGUAAUACGGAGGAUCCGAGCGUUAUCCGGAUUUAUUGGGUUUAAAGGGAGCGUAGGUGGAUUGUUAAGUCAGUUGUGAAAGUUUGCGGCUCAACCGUAAAAUUGCAGUUGAAACUGGCAGUCUUGAGUACAGUAGAGGUGGGCGGAAUUCGUGGUGUAGCGGUGAAAUGCUUAGAUAUCACGAAGAACUCCGAUUGCGAAGGCAGCUCACUGGACUGCAACUGACACUGAUGCUCGAAAGUGUGGGUAUCAAACAGGAUUAGAUACCCUAGUAGUC
rnacentral:rRNA from 1 species